GCGAAAUGUUGUAAAAUGCGGAAAAUAUAGGCUAUAGCCCUGCGAAAUUUGCAAAUUUUGUAUUAAUUUGUAGUACGCACGGGAAAAUGUACCACUUUCCGCCCAAAUGUGGUGCAUUUUCCCGCGCGUGAUAUAAAUUAAUACAAAAUUUGCAAAUUUCGUUGGGCUACAGUAUAUUUUCCUUAUUUUACAACAUUUCGC